CUCCAAAGAAGGGCAACAAAGCUGGUGAAGGGUCUAGAGAACAAGUGUUAUGAGGAGCGGUUGAGGGAGCUGGAAUUGUUCAGCCUGGAGCAAA